rnacentral:rRNA from 1 species
UGCAUCUCCCGGACGUGUUUCCCAAGUAGCACCGAGCCCGUGAAAUUCGGUGUGAAUCUGGCGGGACCACCCGCUAAGCCUGAAUACUCCCUGGUGACCGAUAGCGGACAAGUACCGUGAGGGAAAGGUGAAAAGUACCCCGGGAGGGGAGUGAAAUAGUACCUGAAACCGUGUGCCUACAAGCCGUGAGAGCCUUAGGACCUUCUGGUUCGGGGUGAUUGCGUGCCUUUUGAAGAAUGAGCCUGCGAGUUAGUGGUACGUGGCGAGGUUAACCCGUGGGGGGUAGCCGUAGCGAAAGCGAGUCCGAACAGGGCGAUCUAGUCGCGUGCUCUAGACCCGAAGCCGAGUGAUCUACCCAUGGCCAGGUUGAAGCGCGGGUAAGACCGCGUGGAGGACCGAACCCACUUAGGUUGAAAACUGAGGGGAUGAGCUGUGGGUAGGGGUGAAAGGCCAAUCAAACUCGGUGAUAGCUGGUUCUCCCCGAAAUGCAUUUAGGUGCAGCGUCACGUGUUUCUUGCCGGAGGUAGAGCACUGGAUGGCCGAUGGGCCCCACAAGGUUACUGACGUCAACCAAAC